rnacentral:rRNA from 1 species
UACGUAGGGGGCAAGCGUUGUCCGGAUUUAUUGGGCGUAAAGAGCGUGUAGGCGGCUAGAUAGGUCCGUUGUGAAAACUCGAGGCUCAACCCUUGAAUGCCGGUGGAUACUGCAGGGCUAGAGUCCGGAAGAGGCGAGUGGAAUUCCUGGUGUAGCGGUGAAAUGCGCAGAUAUCAGGAGGAACACCGAUGGCGAAGGCAGCUCGCUGGGACGGUACUGACGCUGAGGCGCGAAAGCGUGGGGAGCAAACAGG